rnacentral:misc_RNA from 1 species
UCUCCGUAGGUGAACCUGCGGAGGGAUCAUUACUGAGUGAGGGCUCACGCCCGACCUCCAACCCUUUGUGUUUCUGACUGUGUUGCCUCGGGGGCGACCCUGCCGUUUCGACGGCGAGCGCCCCCGAAGGUCUCCAAACACUGCAUCUUUGCGUCGGAGUUUAAAACAAAUUAAACAAAACUUUCAACAACGGAUCUCUUGGUUCUGGCAUCGAUGAAGAACGCAGC